AGCGGCGGACGGGUGAGUAACGCGUGGGUAACCUGCCAUAUACAGGGGGAUAACAGUUAGAAAUGACUGCUAAUACCGCAUAAGCGCACAGUUUCGCAUGGAACGGUGUGAAAAACUCCGGUGGUAUAUGAUGGACCCGCGUCUGAUUAGCUAGUUGGUGAGGUAACGGCCCACCAAGGCGACGAUCAGUAGCCGACCUGAGAGGGUGACCGGCCACAUUGGGACUGAGACACGGCCCAAACUCCUACGGGAGGCAGCAGUGGGGAAUAUUGCACAAUGGGGGAAACCCUGAUGCAGCGACGCCGCGUGAGCGAAGAAGUAUUUCGGUAUGUAAAGCUCUAUCAGCAGGGAAGAAAAUGACGGUACCUGACUAAGAAGCCCCGGCUAACUACGUGCCAGCAGCCGCGGUAAUACGUAGGGGGCAAGCGUUAUCCGGAUUUACUGGGUGUAAAGGGAGCGUAGGCGGCAUGGCAAGUCAGAAGUGAAAAUCCGGGGCUCAACCCCGGAACUGCUUUUGAAACUGUAUUUCUUGAGUGAAGCAGAGGCAAGCGGAAUUCCUAGUGUAGCGGUGAAAUGCGUAGAUAUUAGGAGGAACACCAGUGGCGAAGGCGGCUUGCUGGGCUUUUACUGACGCUGAGGCUCGAAAGCGUGGGGAGCAAACAGGAUUAGAUACCCUGGUAGUCCACGCCGUAAACGAUGAUUACUAGGUGUGGGUAGAGACCCUAUCCGUGCCGGAGUUAACACAAUAAGUAAUCCACCUGGGGAGUACGGCCGCAAGGCUGAAACUCAAAGGAAUUGACGGGGGCCCGCACAAGCAGUGGAGUAUGUGGUUUAAUUCGAAGCAACGCGAAGAACCUUACCAGGUCUUGACAUCGAGUGACGUAUCUAGAGAUAGAUAUUUCCUUCGGGACACGAAGACAGGUGGUGCAUGGUUGUCGUCAGCUCGUGUCGUGAGAUGUUGGGUUAAGUCCCGCAACGAGCGCAACCCUUACUAUUAGUUGCUACGCAAGAGCACUCUAAUAGGACUGCCGUUGACAAAACGGAGGAAGGUGGGGAUGACGUCAAAUCAUCAUGCCCUUUAUGACCUGGGCUACACACGUACUACAAUGGUGUUUAACAAAGAGAAGCAAAGCCGCGAGGCAGAGCAAAUCCCCAAAAAACAUCUCAGUUCAGAUUGCAGGCUGCAACUCGCCUGCAUGAAGUCGGAAUUGCUAGUAAUCGUAGGUCAGCAUACUACGGUGAAUACGUUCCCGGGCCU
rnacentral:rRNA from 1 species